rnacentral:rRNA from 1 species
GACGUAGGGCGCGAGCGUUGUCCGGAAUUAUUGGGCGUAAAGAGCGUGUAGGCGGUCUGGUAGGUCCGUUGUGAAAACUCGAGGCUCAACCUCGAGACGCCGAUGGAAACCAUCAGACUAGAGUCCGGAAGAGGAGAGUGGAAUUCCUGGUGUAGCGGUGAAAUGCGCAGAUAUCAGGAAGAACACCCGUGGCUAAGGCGGCUCUCUAGUACGGUACUGACGCUGAGACGCGAAAGCAUGGGGAGCGAACAGG